GAACUUAGACACGGUCCAGACUCCUACGGGAUGCAGCAGUGAGGAAUAUUGCGCAAUGGGCGAAAGCCUGACGCAGCGACGCCGCGUGGAGGAUGAAGGUCUUCGGAUUGUAAACUCCUGUUAAGUGGGAAGAAAGACUCAUUCGUAAUAUGAAUGAGGGAUGACGGUACCAUUAUAGAAAGCACCGGCUAACUUCGUGCCAGCAGCCGCGGUAAUACGAGGGGUGCAAGCGUUAUUCGGAAUUAUUGGGCGUAAAGGGUGUGUAGGCGGCAAGAUAAGUCAACUGUUAAAUAUUCCGGCCUAACCGGAAAACAGCAGUAGAUACUGUUUUGCUAGAGGAUGGAAGAGAGAAGUGGAAUUCUCGGAGUAGCGGUAAAAUGCGUGGAUCUCGAGAGGAACACCAAUGGCGAAGGCAGCUUCUUGGUCCAUUCCUGACGCUGAGACACGAAAGCGUGGGGAGCAAACAGGAUUAGAUACCCCAGUAGUCC
rnacentral:rRNA from 1 species